UACGGGGGGAGCAAGCGUUGUUCGGAUUUACUGGGCGUAAAGGGCGCGUAGGCGGUCGUGACAAGUCACUUGUGAAAUCUCUGAGCUUAACUCAGAACGGCCAAGUGAUACUGCUGUGCUAGAGUGCAGAAGGGGCAAUCGGAAUUCUUGGUGUAGCGGUGAAAUGCGUAGAUAUCAAGAGGAACACCUGAGGUGAAGACGGGUUGCUGGGCUGACACUGACGCUGAGGCGCGAAAGCCAGGGGAGCAAACGGG
rnacentral:rRNA from 1 species